rnacentral:rRNA from 1 species
CGGGAAUUCGAUUACCGCUCAGUAACACGUGGACAACCUACCCUUAGGUCGGGGAUAAACCCGGGAAACUGGGUAUAAUACCCGAUAGAUCUCGACUGCUGGAAUGCAUCGAGAUCGAAAGCUCCGGCGCCUAAGGAUGGGUCUGCGGCCUAUCAGGUAGUAGUGGGUGUAGCGUACCUACUAGCCUACGACGGGUACGGGUUGUGAGAGCAAGAGCCCGGAGAUGGAUUCUGAGACACGAAUCCAGGCCCUACGGGGUGCAGCAGGCGCGAAAACUUUACAAUGCUGGAAACAGCGAUAAGGGGACCUCGAGUGCCAGGUUACAAAUCUGGCUGUCGUGAUGCCUAAAAAGCAUUGCAUAGCAAGGGCCGGGCAAGACCGGUGCCAGCCGCCGCGGUAACACCGGCGGCUCGAGUGGUAACCGUUAUUAUUGGGUCUAAAGGGUCUGUAGCCGGCCGGAUAAGUCUCUUGGGAAAUCCAGCAGCUCAGCUGUUGGGCUUUCAGGAGAUACUGUCUGGCUCGAGGCCGGGAGAGGUGAGAGGUACUUCAGGGGUAGGGGUGAAAUCUUGUAAUCCUUGAAGGACCACCAGUGGCGAAGGCGUCUCACCAGAACGGACCUGACGGCAAGGGACGAAAGCUAGGGGCACGAACCGGAUUAGAUACCCGGGUAGUCCUAGCCGUAAACGAUACUCGCUAGGUGUCGGCCACGGUGCGACCGUUGUCGGUGCCGUAGGGAAGCCGUGAAGCGAGCCACCUGGGAAGUACGGCCGCAAGGCUGAAACUUAAAG